rnacentral:rRNA from 2 species
CUUGAUGUGUAGGAUAGGUGGGAGGCUUUGAAGUGUGGACGCCAGUCUGCAUGGAGCCGACCUUGAAAUACCACCCUUUAAUGUUUGAUGUUCUAACGUGGACCCGUAAUCCGGGUUGCGGACAGUGUCUGGUGGGUAGUUUGACUGGGGCGGUCUCCUCCUAAAGAGUAACGGAGGAGCACGAAGGUUGGCUAAUCCUGGUCGGACAUCAGGAGGUUAGUGCAAUGGCAUAAGCCAGCUUGACUGCGAGCGUGACGGCGCGAGCAGGUGCGAAAGCAGGUCAUAGUGAUCCGGUGGUUCUGAAUGGAAGGGCCAUCGCUCAACGGAUAAAAGGUACUCCGGGGAUAACAGGCUGAUACCGCCCAAGAGUUCAUAUCGACGGCGGUGUUUGGCACCUCGAUGUCGGCUCAUCACAUCCUGGGGCUGAAGUAGGUCCCAAGGGUAUGGCUGUUCGCCAUUUAAAGUGGUACGCGAGCUGGGUUUAGAACGUCGUGAGACAGUUCGGUCCCUAUCUGCCGUGGGCGCUGGAGAACUGAGGGGGGCUGCUCCUAGUACGAGAGGACCGGAGUGGACGCAUCACUGGUGUUCGGGUUGUCAUGCCAAUGGCACUGCCCGGUAGCUAAAUGCGGAAGAGAUAAGUGCUGAAAGCAUCUAAGCACGAAACUUGCCCCGA